UGGGCUAGAGCUUUCUUUACAGAGAGAGCCUGUAGUGAUGUUGUCCAAAAUAAUAUGGCAGAAUAUUUUAACUCAUACAUUUUGAAGAGCAGAGAUAGACCUAUUAUCAUAAUGUUGCAAAAGAUCAGGAUCCUUAUGAUGAUCAGGUUAAGAUACAAAAAAGAAGAGCUGAAGGAGGAAGAGCUGUAGCUUCUAUCAAUAGCCAG
rnacentral:lncRNA from 1 species